rnacentral:lncRNA from 1 species
AUUUUGGGGUUCCCAGGAUUGGCUCUCUACACUAAUUAGAUUUUAAAAUGCUAAUGACUCUCUUUCCAGUAGUGAAAAAAAAAAGGCACUGACAGUCUAUGGCAUGAUCUGGUUAUAGAGAUAUGCAAAAUAUCUGCCUUGGAUACUCCUAUUCAACCACUCAUAAGAAGUAAGGAACUGGGUACUCUGUUAACCUUCUCAGAUGGAGGCACAAGACUUAUUUUGUGAUUGGCUGAAUUACAACACAAGCUGAAGUCUCAGCUUCACAGAGUGUCUACUAUUGUAGUGAGGAUAGUCAUUGGGAAUAAAUAGGAUCCUGUAAGUUGAGAUGGGGACAUAAAAGGCUUAGAGAAAUUGGAAUGUCAGAGUGGAUUUGUCAUUUAAGACCUAGCUUUUACUAAAUUUAUUUUGAGAAAUAAAUGUGUGAGGGGAUCCCUAGCAUCCUUGGAGACAUCCAUGAUGGUUCUUCUCUGUAGGCCAGACCCUAGAGUGUGAACUGCAGUCACUCAAUUGGAAAACCUAAAUGCAAAGGAAGUAAUUGAAUCCCGUGUCAGUACUCAACAGCCAGAGG